rnacentral:rRNA from 1 species
CCCGGGCCUUGUACACACCGCCCGUCACACCACGAAAGUCGGUAACACCCGAAGCCAGUGGCCCAACCGACAAGGAGGGAGCUGUCGAAGGUGGGAUCGGUGAUUGGGGUG